ensembl:lncRNA
CACAGAGCUCGUUCGACAAGCCGAAACAGGAGAAGGUUCUCACUACAGGCUUUAUAAUUUACUGUUAGGUGCUCUCCGUCACGUGUGGAAUCUCUCCAGUCCACUAGAAAACACCAAACAUGAACCAGCAGCUGCAGUCCAGCCCGCUCUGCAGGCACCACUCAUGAGUCAGCAAGGUCAGUUCAAUCAGAAGAGACCGCCAAUUGACCAGAGUCUGUGGAAGCAGCAAGAAGCCACAGGAAUUGUAGGAGAAGUUCUUUGGAUCUGCAAAAAAGAAGGGCAGAACCCAUUUCCCCCCAGUGUACUCCUAAAGCACAUGGUACAUUACUGAGCACAUAGUGGCUGUUCGCAACUACAGCGAGUGAAUCUAUAAACCAUCGAAUGAGUGGAAGGACUUGCCGUUCAGUGGACCACCUCCUGUAAUAGGAUGACUCUCUACACCUCAAGAUUCUCAGCUCGCGUCUGUAGACUCUCAUCGGAUAACGUGAUGUCACACGAGCAAUCAGGCGACCUGGAGGUCUCCUAGAUGAUCUCCUUGUUCCUCCCUCCUGGCUAAGAAGUGACAGCUCAUUUAAAAAAAAAUCAUAAACAAAACC